rnacentral:lncRNA from 1 species
CCUCCAGGGGCAGCUGUCAACAUCUGGGCCUGGAGUCAGGGCCAGGCAUGGGGGUGGGAGCUCAGCCUGCCCAUGACUCAGCUCUCAGCUCUCGUGGGA